UGCACGUUUAACGUAGCAAACCGCUCAGUAACACGUGGCCGAUCUACCCUAUGGACCGGGAUAACCACGGGAAACUGUGGCUAAUCCCGGAUAGCGCUCCCGAGCUUGAAUGCUGGGAGCGUGACACGCUCCGGCGCCAUAGGAUGAGGCUGCGGCCGAUUAGGUAGACGGUGAGGUAACGGCUCACCGUGCCGAUAAUCGGUACUGGUUGUGAGAGCAAGAGCCAGGAGACGGAAUCUGAGACAAGAUUCCGGGCCCUACGGGGCGCAGCAGGCGCGAAACCUUUACACUGCACGACAGUGCGAUAGGGGGACACCGAGUGCGAGGGCAUAGAGCCCUCGCUUUUGUGUACCGUAAGGUGGUACACGAAUAAGGGCUGGGCAAGACCGGUGCCAGCCGCCGCGGUAACACCGGCAGCCCGAGUGAUGGCCGAUUUUAUUGGGCCUAAAGCGUCCGUAGCUGGCCGCGUAGGUCCGUCGGGAAAUCUACUGGCCUAACCAGUAGGCGUCCGGCGGAAACCUCGUGGCUUGGGACCGGGAGACCUGAGGGGUAC
rnacentral:rRNA from 1 species